ensembl:lncRNA
GUGUCUGCUGUUAGGACACUCCGUCUACGGUGCUUUGUGGCAGCCACCCUGGCUGAGACAGGCUGGGGAGGUCCUGAUGAUGGACUGCUUUACAAGUGAAGGAGGCGAAAUGAGCCCUUCUAACUUGACACCAGUCAAUCUUAAAGAAAAUCAACCCUGAAUCUUCACUGAAAGGACCGAUGCUGAAGCUCCAAUACUUUGGCCCCCUGAUGUGAUGAGCCGACUCAUUGGAAAAGACCCUGAUGCUGGGAAAGAUGGAGGGCAGGAGGAGAAGGGGAUGGCAGAGGAUGAGAUGGUUGGAUGGUAUCACUGCCUCAAUGGACAUGAGUUUGAGAAAGCUUCAGGAGAUGGUGAAAGAUAGGUAAACGGCUUUUUCACCUCAGAAUCUUCUUCUUCCUCCUGUGUCUGAGCUCCAGGCAUGCUUGUGGGACGUCGUGGUUCACGCGCAUUCCUGCUGAGCAGUGUCCAUGGUAUUCGAGUUGUUUCCAGUUGAGGGCAGUUUCCACCAGGGAUGCUGUGAACCUUGUACAUCUUUGUGACCAGAAGUCCCUUUCCACCACUUAGCGUGUGUUAGUGUCUCGCCCACAUUUGCAGUGACAGCCAUGGCAUCUGGCACCCAGUAGGUGCUUAGUAAGGAGUGUUUGCAAGGUGAAUCAUGAAUCGGGAGGCCAGGCAGGUCCAGGGUGGGGACGCAGCCCGUGUUGGGGUCAGGCGUCUGGUUAGCCUGGUGUUGGAUCUGCUCCAUUUGCUUAUAGCCCACCUGCUGGGUUUCAG